rnacentral:piRNA from 1 species
UNUUGCUGUUCUCGUUAGGUCCAAGAUUA